CCCCUCGCUUGGCCCCACCUCAUCCCACCCGAUCCCACCGCCACAGCUGCAACGACACGUACAACUCCGCCCGCUGAUUAGCGCGGUUGAGUUCUUUUUGCCAGACAGACAAACACCCGCACAUAGCCGCAGAUGGGCAGGCGGAGGUGUGUUGCACGCGUCAUCAAUCCAUCACCUGUGUAGAGCCCCUCCCUCCCUCCUCUAUCCCCCUGCCAAAAAUGCCGAACCGCUUCUGGUGGCGGCAGACUCAAGCGCCUACGACGUAGCGAAGCUAGAGCGAUGCAUGGCUGCUGAUGUCUGUGGACAGGUCCUGGGCGGCGCUGCGUCGGGGCGACCUGCGACCGUGAGCUCGGUUGUGCCAUCCAUGUGACGGGCGGCGUGCCAGCGUGACUCGAGCGCAUCACAGCCGACCCUCACACUGCCCACUGGCAUGUGUGCGUGUGUGUGUGGGUGUGGGUGUGUGGGGCCUGCACCACCGCGAGGGGGACGCACCAGUCGCCAACCGGCACAAUGCGGGCGACUGCGAGGCGGGUGUGGGUAGCGUUUGGUGCGCGGGCCCUGCUCUCAGAUGAUGGUGUCGGCGCGUUGCCGUGCUGGCUUGUGUGCGCGGCUGCUUCGCACGACGGGAGGUGGGCCUGUGACGGGCCGGGGGCAGAGCGGAGCGGAGCGCAUGCUGCACGGCAGAGAAAUGGACACGCUGCCACAAUACAAUUCGCCUUUGGAGCCGGCACUGGUGCGUGUGCGCGUGCGCCUGUGUUUCUGUGUGUUGACAGCUGCAUCGCCCUCACGGAAUUCGGCUGACCGCAUAGCUGUGUUGAUUCCUCUCUCUUUCGCUUCUUUCUCUGUCUGCGGCGCAGCGCGUCUGGCCAAGCUAUCUCGGCUCGCUCGCGCACGUACGCCCCCCUCCCCUGCGCGCCAACUCCGUGACGAGCUUGUCGCACUCUUCGUUUUGUGCGUUCCGAGUCGUGCAGCUGGUCUAAUCCCUCCCUCUCCUUCUCCGUCCCCCCUUUCCGUGUCUCCCCGCCACACACACACACACACUGUGGCCCUUUGUGUGUGCCUCGCUACGCCGUUGUCACAUCACCUCAUCCUCGCGGCCUUCUUUCUGCUUCUCUUGAAG
rnacentral:misc_RNA from 1 species